AUUAGCGGCGGACGGGUGAGUAACACGUGAGUAACCUGCCUUAGACAUUGGGAUAGCCUCGGGAAACCGGGAUUAAUACCAAAUAAAAUCAUAAUGACACAUGUCAUAACGAUCAAAACUCCGGUGGUCUAAGAUGGACUCGCGUCCCAUUAGCUAGUUGGUAGAGUAAAAGCCUACCAAGGCGACGAUGGGUAGCCGGCCUGAGAGGGUGAACGGCCACAUUGGAGCUGAGAAACGGUCCAA
rnacentral:rRNA from 1 species